CCUACGGGUGGCAGCAGUGGGGAAUAUUGGGCAAUGGGCGCAAGCCUGACCCAGCAACGCCGCGUGAAGGAAGAAGGCUCUCGGGUUGUAAACUUCUUUUAUCAGGGACGAAGCAAGUGACGGUACCUGAUGAAUAAGCCACGGCUAACUACGUGCCAGCAGCCGCGGUAAUACGUAGGUGGCAAGCGUUAUCCGGAUUUACUGGGUGUAAAGGGCGUGUAGGCGGGAAAGUAAGUCAGAUGUGAAAACCAUGGGCUCAACCUCUGGCCUGCAUUUGAUACUGUUUUUCUUGAGUACUGGAGAGGCAGACGGAAUGCAUGGUGUAGCGGUGAAAUGCUUAGAUAUUAGGCGGAACACCAGUGGCGAAGGCGGUCUGCUGAACAGCAACUGACGCUGAGGCGCGAAAGCGUGGGGAGCAAACAGGAUUAGAUACCCUGGUAGUC
rnacentral:rRNA from 1 species